AUACGGAGGGUGCAAGCGUUAAUCGGAAUUACUGGGCGUAAAGCGUGCGCAGGCGGCUUUAUAAGCCAGAUGUGAAAUCCCCGGGCUCAACCUGGGAACUGCAUUUGGAACUGUAAGGCUAGAGUACGGCAGAGGGGGGUAGAAUUCCACGUGUAGCAGUGAAAUGCGUAGAUAUGUGGAGGAAUACCGAUGGCGAAGGCAGCCCCCUGGGUCGAUACUGACGCUCAUGCACGAAAGCGUGGGGAGCAAACAGGAUUAGAAACCCCAGUAGUCC
rnacentral:rRNA from 1 species